CCUGCACGUAUGUUUCAGGUAAACAGCGCUCCCCCUGCAUGUAGUGUCCAGUGACACAGUGCUCGACCUGCAUGUAUUUUCCAGGUACACAGCGCUCCCCCUGCACGUAGUGUCCAGUAACACAGUGCUCCCCCUGCAUGUAGUGUCCAGGUACACAGUGCUUCCCCUGCAUGUAGUGUCCAGUGACACAGUGCUCCCCCUCCAUGAGGUGUCCAGAUACACAGUGCUCCCCCUCCAUGAGGUGUUCAGAUACACAGUGCUCUCCCUGCAUGUAGUGUCCAGGUACACAGUGCUCCCCCUGCAUGUAGUGUCCAGGUACACAGUGCUCCCUCUGCAUGUAGUGUCCAGAUACACAGUGCUCCCCCUGCAUGUAGUGUCCAGUGACACAGUGCUCCCCCUCCAUGAGGUGUCCAGAUACACAGUGCUCCCCUGCAUGUAG